UACGUAGGGUGCAAGCGUUAAUCGGAAUUACUGGGCGUAAAGCGUGCGCAGGCGGUUAUGUAAGGCAAAUGUGAAAUGCCCGGGCUUAACCUGGGAACUGCAUUUGUGACUGCAUGGCUAGAGUUUGGCAGAGGGGGGUAGAAUUCCACGUGUAGCAGUGAAAUGCGUAGAUAUGUGGAGGAACACCGAUGGCGAAGGCAGCCCCCUGGGUCAAGACUGACGCUCAUGCACGAAAGCGUGGGGAGCAAACAGG
rnacentral:rRNA from 1 species